CUUGGUGCCUCUCCUAUACCUGGAUCACCUUCUCAGUGUCCUUUAAUGGCUGAGACUCUUUCCCCUGCUUCCUUAAUGUAACAUACUCCAAAGCUCAUUUCCUGGUCCUUGUAAAAUCCAUUUUGUUAUUCUACAUUUUCUUGAAGGUCUUAUCCACUAAUCUCACCAAGGUUGAUGACUGCAAGUAUGGGUCUACAACCCUAAGAUAUCUCCCUAAACUUCAGAACCUUGCAUCCCUAACCUCCUGUUGGGUCCCACCAUUCAUUCAGACUCAACAUAUACAAAACCAAAAUCAUCAUUUUGUUUUCACAAAGAGGUUGCCCUCUGGGCUUUGUCCUCAAUGAUAUGCUCAUCCCCAAAGCAAACAUGGCCUAGUCUUGCCAGGUAUCCCCUGGCAUGUAAAAGAGAGCUCUGAGAAUGGAUCUUGUGGGGAGCAUUCCAGAUCCACUCCCAGUGAAAUAGAAACCGCCUCUCAUUUCUCUAAGGUCUGCCCCUUCCACUCUGAACAUUCACAGGAUUAUGGAUUAUCUAUGCACAGGGGUGGGCUGCGGGAAUGAGAGUGCCUAUGAAUAAAGCCGCUUCAGUAAAACACGAACACUCUAAUUCCAGGUCCACCAGCACUUAGUCACAAGCCUCCCUCCCUCAUAUCUUACAGUUCUGAUAAUAUUGUCUAUGUUUUUAUCUGACAGCGCCCCCUGCCCCAUCAUGCCCCACCAUGGCGUCUGUGUUGGGGCAGACUGCUGGAUUGGUGGAGGAGUCAGAAGCACGCAAGGGGUAGAUCUUGACUGAAGUGGCUCAGGGCUCUGUGGAUAUCAGACUGUGUGGUGGCACCUUUAAUAUUCCCUGGAGCAACAUCUACUAUUCUUGCAAACAACCUAAUAAAAGUCACCUGGACUUAACGAGGAAGGCAUUCAGGGAAUUUCACUGGAGCUUCCUGCCUGCUAGUCACUAGGGCCAGCCACAGAUAUUCCAUUUCUCCUCCUUUGAGCACAUAGUGGGAGGGUACCUCCCUUCCCCCUUGGAAGUUAGGUGUGAUUUGUGACUUGCUUUGGCCAAUGAGAUGUGAGCAGAAACAAUGUGGAUCAAUUCUAAUUGAAGCUUUAAGAACCUGAGUCUGUAUGGCUGGCUAUCAUUAAGUCAAAAAUAACAAGAUGCUGGCAAGGUUGUGGAGAAAAAGGAACACUUAUACACUGUUGGUGGGAGUGUAAAUUAGUUCACCCAUUGUGGAAGACACUGUGGCAAUUCCUCAAAGACUUAGAGACAGAAAUACCAUUCAGCCCAGCAAUCCCAUUUCUGGGUACAUACCCAAAGGAAUAUAAAUCAUUCUAUUAUAAAGACACAUGCAUGCAUUAUGAACAUAUGCAUGUAUGUUCUUUCAUUGGCACUAUUCACAAUAGUAAAGACAUGGAAUCAACCUAAAUGCCCAUCAAUGAUAAACUUGAUAAAGAAAAUGUCGUAUAUAUAUAUAUAUACCAUGGAAUACUAUGCAGCCAUAAAAAAGAAUGAGAUUAUGUCCUUUGCAGGGACACGGAUGGAGCUGGAGGCCAUUAUCCCCAGCAAACUAAUUCAGGAACAGAAAACCAAAUACUGCAUAUUCUCACUUAUAAGUGGGAGCUAAAUGAAGAGAACACAUGGACACAGACAGGGGAACAACACACACUGGAGCCUAUCAGAGGGCAGAGACUGGGAGGAGGGAGAAGGUCAGGAAAAAUAACUAAUGGAUUACUAAGCUGAAUAACUGGGUGAUGAAAUAAUCUGUAUAACAACCCCCCAUGACACGUUUGCCUAUGUAAUAAACCUGUACAUCCUGCACAUGUACCGCUGAACUUAAAAUAAAAGUUAGAAAAAAAAAAACAAAAACAAAGAAUUUGAGCCUAGGUCACUUGUUCCCUUUCCCUGCCUCAGUGAAAUCAUGAGUUGAGAUACAGCUUCUACCAGCCUGGGUCCCCAGGAUCCAAAUCAGGAUACCACCUUAAAUUUAACAUAAUGCCCUUAAAAAUGAAAAAGUCCGCAAGCCAUGUUAUCAUCUGGAUUUCAACAAAGAAAAGUGACUCCAGCAUGCAGAGUGGGAUCAACUUGCUCUACCAACUCUGGAUCUUCUGUCAUCUGGAAAUGACGGGGAUCUUGUACUCACGGGCAAUGCCUGCCUACUAUUAUCUUUGGAAUCAGCAUGUGAGGCCCCCUACAGUGCCUCAUCCAUCUGACUCAUGCCGAAGAUGGUCCAGGCGUCACCUGAGCUAUGCUACCUUUGGUAAAGACCCAUGCAGGCUUCUCUUUGCCCUGGAGUCACACUUUCUCCCCUAUUGACACCCCAGCCAGGAUCACACCAAUACCUCCAACAUCAAUCAGAAGUCAACAAGAAUGGAAAACAGACUAAAGUAACUUCUAUGGACAGGGCUGGGUCUAUUCUUACCUUCUGCAAAUGGUUCCCACUCAUAAAACCGGCCCAUGAAUGGCUUGUUGUUGUAGGAUGCACACUGUACCUCCCGGAUACUUCUACUGCUUUCUGGACAUACCUAAUAAAGCAGAUAUUAAAUAUGCAAUUAGUGUCCAUACUUUUCAUAGCUCCAGGAUACAUUUCCAAACCCUGGAUACCUUUCCAACUUUAUUUAUUUUUUAUUUUUAUUCUUUAUUUAUUUAUUU
rnacentral:lncRNA from 10 species